ACAUCCAAGGAAGGCAGCAGGCGCGUAAAUUACCCAAUCCUAACACAGGGAGGUAGUGACAAUAAAUAACUGACGCCGGAUUCAAUGAAUCUGGAAUUGGAAUGAGAACAAUUUAAAUCCCUUAUCGAGGAUCAAUUGGAGGGCAAGUCUGGUGCCAGCAGCCGCGGUAAUUCCAGCUCCAAUAGCGUAUAUUAAAGUUGUUGCAGUUAAAAAGCUCGUAGUUGAAUUUCUGGGAUUUCCGGCGCGUCCACUUCAUUGUGGGCUCACGGGGAUCCUCGCCUUAGGGCGUCAUUUACUGUGAAAAAAUUAGAGUGUUCCAAGCAGGCCUAGCCUGAAUACCUUAGCAUGGAAUAAUAACAUAGGACUGUCUGUGAUGUUGUUGGUUUGCAUCCAGCGGUAAUGAUUAAUAGGGACGAUCGGGGGCAUUUCUAUUCAGCAGUCAGAGGUGAAAUUCUUGGAUUUGCUGAAGAGAAACUGCUGCGAAAGCGUCUGCCAAGGGCGUUUUCAUUAAUCAAGAACGAAAGUCAGGGGAGCGAAGAGGAUUAGAUACCCUCGUAGUCUUGACCAUAAACCAUGCCGACUCGGGAUUGGUGUUCGCCGCAGGGCACAUCAGCACCGUAUGUAAAAACAAAGUCUUUGGGUUCCGGGGGGAGUCUGGUCGCAAGGCUGAAACUUAAAGGAAUUGACGGAAGGGCACCACCAGGAGUGGAGCCUGCGGCUUAAUUUGACUCAACACGGGAAAACUUACCAGGUCCGGACGCAAUGAGGAUUGACAGAUUGA
rnacentral:rRNA from 1 species